AUCCCUGUAGAGAAGAUAUAUGGGAGAACCAAGACACGGUGUCUACAUCUGGUAUCCUGUGGCUGCUGGCAGUGACCUGUCUGCAUAAAGCUGGGGGAGUUCUUAAGUGUUGCAGUUCCAGAUUCAGCUUCAGAGUGUAUAUAUACAGCCACUGUGAAUUGCUGCUUCUCUGAACAUGAUG